rnacentral:misc_RNA from 1 species
AAGUCGUAACAAGGUUUCCGUAGGUGAACCUGCGGAAGGAUCAUCAAUGAAUUUUCAAAUGAUGGCCUACAUCUUUGAAAUUGUCUAGCGAAUUUUAUUUGCUUGAUUGGAAUUGACGGAUUAUUGCCUAAUUCAGGCGAUAAUGAUAUUAAAGUCCAGGUUUUUAAAGUAAGGCGGUACUUUGACCAAAAAAAAUAUUUCAACUUUACCGACCAAAAAACAACUUUCGGCAACGGAUCUCUUGGUUCUG